GGAGCCGCUGAGGGGCUCGGCUCGCUUCAAACCGCUGGAGGACAUCGGCGAGAAGCCAUCCGCUGCUGCAGGAGGCUCUCGUUUGACGACACGCACAUCAGCGGAGACAGUUCGUGUAGAAGAGGUCGCCCUUUCAGUUCCGUUUUUGCCUUUCCUGCCAGGAUUUUACCUGAAGAACUAGUAACCUGUAAGAGCCGUUUCUCGACCCGGUUCUGCUGUGCUGGUGGAUUUACUAAGUUACCGCGGAGCCGCCGGAUAAAACUCACGCUAGUUUGUGACGGAAACUGGACGAUCGAUGACGAUGUACCUUCGUCUUUGACCCCGAUUUACACACCAAGAUCGUGCGUCUUUUGAAAAAUUAAGCAGCUGUUCACCCGUGACACUGUCCGCCUUCAUGGCUCGUUUGUACGGACCCCCCCACCCGGGGGGUAAAACUGUCCCACCGGCAUGGUAAAGUAAAAGUAGAGUGAAAACCACAACUUGUCUUUUUAGACUGGUCGUGUUUCCUUCAGCAGCUCUGAUUUUUCCGAAGUCGGAUGUGCGCGUCGUCGUUUCCUUGGAAUAUAAACCUGGCAGUUUUUCAUCAUUUGCGGAUUAUAAAAACGAAUCGCUGUGGAUUAAAUGAUGUUCGGUAACAUCCCGAGACCUGUGUGGAAUAUAAUCUUAGCUUCUCUUAUGAAUGAAUGGCACCUCCAGCCCAUCAGGGUGUUACCCCGUUAAAGGAGGACUCCAGGUGACUGUCCAGGUAGGGCCUCCUCCGAGGGUGGAGGGAGGAGGGACCGAUUUACUGCCACCAUCAUGCCUGUGGUGAGCCACCAUCCACGAGAGCUCCUGAUGCCAGUCCGGUGGACCGUGUGGAUGGACGUCAGGAUUCAGUCCCCCUUGAUGCCCCCAGCAUAGCUGCUUUCCACGUGCACAUCCCUGGCUGCAUGAGGCCAUUAAGCUCACAUUCUGCAGGGAAGGAGACCCCAUGGGCUGGCGGAAACUGCUAGAACCUGUUUUUGACUCAAACGAGUUGGCUUCUCCCUGCCUCCGGGUUCCCCGCAGAGCAGAACCAGUGGAUGGCUGAGGAAACCCGUGAUGGGAGUUAUGCUGUCCGACCGGCAGGCAAAAGGAAGGAACGAAGGACAUGUAGCAUCAGCCGUGAGUCCCAGCCUUGAACCUGUGUCUUCACACAGCUGCGUGGAACUUUGUUCACCUUGCUGGUGUUUCCCACUGUCUCUGUAACCUUUGAAUGCCAGUUUGUUUGAAACAAAAUAAAAAGAAU